GUGUCCAACGUCUAUGCCCCCUGUGCCCAUGCGAAGAAAGCCGACUUCCUUUCCGAGCUCUCCACCCAUGCUCCCACCGUCUCCACCCCCUGGGCUAUUGUUGGAGAUUUUAACCUCGCUCGAACCCCUGCUGACCGUAACACGGACACCUUCUCGCGUUCAGAGGCAACUCUGUUUAACGACUUCAUCAACGGGCUCGCGCUCAUCGAUCUCCCGCUUCGGGAUCGGUUAUAUACUUGGUCCAACCGCCAAUCCUCCCCCAUCCUUGCUCGCCUCGACCGCGUUCUUGUUAAAAUGGAUUGGGAUGCCAUGUUCCCUAUGUCCACCCUUUUGUCCUUCUCCCGCUCAACCACCGACCACGUCCCCCUACUCGCCACCAUUUCCUCUCGCGCCCCCCGCUCUACUGUUUUUCGGUUCGAGAAAGCUUGGGCGCUCCACCCCUCCUUCCGCCAUACUAUUGCUUCUGCAUGGUCCUCGACCUUCCGUCCGGAUGCGACAUCACGCCUCGUUGCUCACUUGCGCCAAUGCAGGCUCAGUUGCAAGCGCUGGGCUAGACGUCUGUCUCUGGCUGCCGUCCGAGAGCAGGACUGUCGCUUCCUCAUUAACAUUUUGGACCGUUUGGAAGAAAUGCGCGCUCUCUCUCACCUCGAGUCUCUGCUUCGCUCUCUCACCAUUGACGCCCUCCGUGUCUCCAUCAAAGAACGCGUCCUCUACUAG
rnacentral:rRNA from 1 species